AGUGAACGCUGGCGGUAGGCCUAACACAUGCAAGUCGAACGGCAGCACAGUAAGAGCUUGCUCUUGCGGGUGGCGAGUGGCGGACGGGUGAGGAAUACAUCGGAAUCUACUUUUUCGUGGGGGAUAACGUAGGGAAACUUACGCUAAUACCGCAUACGACCUACGGGUGAAAGCAGGGGAUCUUCGGACCUUGCGCGAUUGAAUGAGCCGAUGUCGGAUUAGCUAGUUGGCGGGGUAAAGGCCCACCAAGGCGACGAUCCGUAGCUGGUCUGAGAGGAUGAUCAGCCACACUGGAUCUGAGACACGGUCCAGACUCCUACGGGAGGCAGCAGUGGGGAAUAUUGGACAAUGGGCGCAAGCCUGAUCCAGCCAUACCGCGUGGGUGAAGAAGGCCUUCGGGUUGUAAAGCCCUUUUGUUGGGAAAGAAAAGCAGCAGGUUAAUACCCCGCUGUUCUGACGGUACCCAAAGAAUAAGCACCGGCUAACUUCGUG
rnacentral:rRNA from 1 species